UACGGAGGAUGCGAGCGUUAUCCGGAUUUAUUGGGUUUAAAGGGUGCGUAGGCGGACGCUUAAGUCUGCGGUAAAAUUGCGGGGCUCAACCUCGUCGAGCCGUUGAAACUGGGUGCCUUGAGUGGGCGAGAAGUACGCGGAAUGCGUGGUGUAGCGGUGAAAUGCAUAGAUAUCACGCAGAACUCCGAUUGCGAAGGCAGCGUACCGGCGCCCUACUGACGCUGAAGCACGAAGGCGUGGGUAUCGAACAGG
rnacentral:rRNA from 1 species